GACGAACGCUGGCGGCGUGCCUAAUACAUGCAAGUAGAACGCUGAAGGAGGAGCUUGCUUCUCUGGAUGAGUUGCGAACGGGUGAGUAACGCGUAGGUAACCUGCCUGGUAGCGGGGGAUAACUAUUGGAAACGAUAGCUAAUACCGCAUAAUAGCAGUUGUUGCAUGACAACUGUUUGAAAGGUGCAAUUGCACCACUACCAGAUGGACCUGCGUUGUAUUAGCUAGUUGGUGGGGUAACGGCUCACCAAGGCGACGAUACAUAGCCGACCUGAGAGGGUGAUCGGCCACACUGGGAAUGAGACACGGCCCAGACUCCUACGGGAGGCAGCAGUAGGGAAUCUUCGGCAAUGGACGGAAGUCUGACCGAGUAACGCCGCGUGAGUGAAGAAGGUUUUCGGAUCGUAAAGCUCUGUUGUAAGAGAAGAACGAGUGUGAGAGUGGAAAGUUCACACUGUGACGGUAUCUUACCAGAAAGGGACGGCUAACUACGUG
rnacentral:rRNA from 1 species